AUGACAUUAGUGAACAGCAUGAAAUUGCAAAUGGAAUUGUGACUGCAGUUUCAAAUCGUGCUGGAGCCGUUGGCCAAGACAUUGACAAGGUAACAUUCCUAAGCAAAAAUAUGUACUUAUGCUCAUUGCCCGUUUACUGUCGGGUGGUGAAGUGAUCCAAUUAAAGUGAUUUAGUGACAAGUAGGGACCGCGGAGCCAGAGGGGUAGCCCUCCUCCAGUGAGCUCCAUAUAUAUUUGGGGUAAGAACUCGUGCCAAAAAAGUGAAGCGAAUGAUGGCGGAAAUUGACGUCCAGUGCCACUCCCUUGGUAUUGUUUUUAUCUGCGCGAUUAACACAAGGCUGCAGGGAGUGUGCCGAAAUUUUGUGUGUUAACUUCGAUUUAAAGAAUUACGGUAUUUAUGAACAGAUAACUUGAUUAGCGAUACGUUCCUUUAGAAAAAACUGGAAUUAGCUGGGAGAAAUGGUAUGAAAACUGUUUAUGACCUUCAUAGAUUUUGGACGUCAAUUUCCUCCAUUGGUAGUUGUCCAAUUGUUAUCAUCAAACAUCGAUUAUAGAAAGGUUAACAUUAUAGGUACUAUACAUUUGUUGAAAAAGUAUCACGCAAACGAUAGAAAUUAGUCAAAUAACAACACAUGUACAAUUCUGCAAAAUUAAUGCACUAACCAUGAAAAUUGAAACCCCACAAAAGUAGCCUCAGAUGGGGUUGUGAAGCCACCUUAAUUGGGAAACGUCUAUAUUGCAAAUUAUUUUGUCUUAUCGUUGCUGGCACGUCUACUGGAUUUAAAAAAAAGUUGAACAAGAUGAGGUUUUUACUGCAAAGAUAUAUCGCAUCUUUUAAAUAUAUAUAUAUAUAUAUAUAUAUAUAUAUAUAUAUAUAUAUAUAAUUUCGCUUACCUCAGAAUUCCGCAACAGUCUGUUUCAUCAGUAAAGAAUCAUCAGGCGGUAUGACAAGUUUCGAAAAUAGGACUGCUUAUAUGUGUUUUGGCCGGAAUGUGGGUGUGUGUGGGUGAAACAAAGCAUGCAUUCAUCUAUUGUUUGCGUUGUUUAUGCGGAAAUGCCUAAUUGAGUUGUGGGAGUGUAUUGUUUGCGUUGUUUACGCGAAAUUUCUUCCUAUGUCUGCACGUAUAUAUAUAUAUAUAUAUAUAUAUAUAUAUAUAUAUAUAUAUAUAUAUAUAUAUAUAUAUAUAUAUAUAUAUAUAUAUAUAUAUAUAUAUAUAUAUAUAUAUAUAUGGUCGGAUAUUUAGGCUUAAAUGUUGUUACAAAACUGAUGUGGGGUUAUUUGGAGGGGAUCCCACAGUUCUCUGGUCAAGAAUUCACAACCGAUAUAUUCCUGAGAUUCUACAAAUUGAUUUUAAAUUACGACUUAUGCCAAAAUCUAAGUUAAAUUUUCCUAUUUUCAAUUUUAUAGGCAAAACAGUAAAGUUUGAAAACAUGCUUAUUGGAUUCUUUGUUUUGUCUACGCAGUUGGCCAUGUUGUAGAUUAUAAAGUUAAUUGCAUAAAUCAAAACCAUCAACUGUAUAACACAUAAAGUUAGAAUUUUACUAAUUCAUUACACACCAUAGCCAUGCAGGGCUGGAAAUGGCGGCUGCCAAUGGCCAAAAGCAGGCCAAAAUUUGAGAAUCAGGCCAUAAUUUGAUUCACGCAAAAAUAAUUUUGGACUGCCAAGUCAAAAAUGAAAUGGCAGGCGAAAUUUUACAGGUCGUUUUACUAAUUUACUUUGCUUACCACAUACCAGUAUUUUUGCAUUGAUUAGCGUGAUGGAGAUAAAGUGUAAAUAUACCAGAGUUAAAAGUUAAAAAGGACAGUCUACAGGGUGUAUAAAAAAAAACGCAAUCCUCGACUGAAAUGUAAAUUGCUAAACAAAUAAUAGACGAAAACGUUAAAGUUUACAUUCAUUUUAAAACGUAGCCAUUCAGCUUUCUAACGGUGGGUUGUUUCUUAAAAUUGACUCAUUGGUUCGCGGGUAAUAAUACUUUACGUUAUUGCGAUUGGAGAUUAGAAAAAUUGAGAUGGAAUAACAAAUCGUUCUCAUGAAAAUAACUGAUUUUUUCAUUAAAACAAACAAAUGUUGCAUUUUAUUAAAUGGAUUGUAACAAUAAGUAUAAUUACGGCUUUUCUUCCACUAUUUUUAACUCAGUUUGAAACUUCAAAUGAGAUAUAAUUUUGGCUUGGAC